rnacentral:rRNA from 1 species
AUGGGUAACCUACCUUCAGGUCGUGGAUAGCUUUCCUAACGGAUUGGUAAUACACGGAGUUGUCAUCUAGCGGCAUCACCGGAUGACUAAAGAAUUUCGCCUGGAGAGGGGCCCAUGUCGUAUCAGCUAGUUGGUGAGGUAACGGCUCACCAAGGCUAAGACGCGUAGCGGGUGUGAGAGCACGACCCGCGCCACUGGCACUGAGACACUGGCCAGACUCCUACGGGAGGCUGCAGUCGAGGAUCUUUGGCAAUGAGCGCAAGCUUGACCAAGCGACGCCGCGUGUACGAUGAAGGCCUUCGGGUUGUAAAGCACUGUCGAGGGGGAGGAAGCCGCAAGGUUGACCUAUCCCUGGAGGAAGCACGGGCUAAGUUCGUGCCAGCAGCCGCGGUAAGACGAACCGUGCGAACGUUAUUCGGAAUCACUGGGCUUAAAGGGCGCGUAGGCGGAUUUGCAAGUCUGUGGUGAAAUCCUCCAGCUUAACUGGAGAAGUGCCAUGGAUACUGCGAGUCUC